CAACAGGGAUUGCCCUAGUAACGGCGAGUGAAGCGGCAACAGCUCAAAUUUGAAAUCUGGCUUCGGCCCGAGUUGUAAUUUGUAGAGGAAGAUUCUGGCAAGGCACCUACUGAGUCCCCUGGAACGGGGCGCCAUAGAGGGUGAGAGCCCCGUAUAGUAGGACGCUUAGCCUGUGUGAAUCUCCUUCGACGAGUCGAGUAGUUUGGGAAUGCUGCUCAAAAUGGGAGGUAAAUUCCUUCUAAAGCUAAAUACUGGCCAGAGACCGAUAGCGCACAAGUAGAGUGAUCGAAAGAUGAAAAGCACUUUGAAAAGAGGGUUAAACAGCACGUGAAAUUGUUGAAAGGGAAGCGCUUAUGACCAGACUUGCGCCGUGGCGAUCAUCCGCUGUUUUCAGUGGUGCACUCGCUGCGGCACAGGCCAGCAUCGGUUCUCGUGGGGGGAUAAAGGUCGCGGGAAUGUGGCUCGUCUCGGCGAGUGUUAUAGCCCGUGGCGUAAUGCCCCCGUGGGGACCGAGGUUCGCGCAUCUGCAAGGAUGCUGGCGUAAUGGUCAUCAGCGACCCGUCUUGAAACACGGACCAAGGAGUCAAGGUUUUGCGCGAGUGUUUGGGUGUUAAACCCGCACGCGUAAUGAAAGUGAACGUAGGUGAGAGCUUCGGCGCAUCAUCGACCGAUCCUGAUGUAUUCGGAUGGAUUUGAGUAGGAGCGUUAAGCCUUGGACCCGAAAGAUGGUGAACUAUGCUUGGAUAGGGUGAAGCCAGAGGAAACUCUGGUGGAGGCUCGCAGCGGUUCUGACGUGCAAAUCGAUCGUCAAAUCUGAGCAUGGGGGCGAAAGACUAAUCGA
rnacentral:rRNA from 1 species